AGAAUCAACGCUGGCGGCGUGCCUAACACAUGCAAGUCGAACGAGAAAGUGGAGCAAUCCAUGAGUAAAGUGGCGACCGGGUGAGUAACACGUGACUAACCUACCUUCGAGUGGGGGAUAACCUCGGGAAACCGAGGCUAAUACCGCAUAACAUCGCAAGAUCAAAGCAGCAAUGCGCUGGAAGAGGGGGUCGCGGCUGAUUAGCUAGUUGGCGGGGUAACGGCCCACCAAGGCGAAGAUCGGUAGCCGGCCUGAGAGGGCGCACGGCCACACUGGAACUGAAACACGGUCCAGACUCCUACGGGAGGCAGCAGUGGGGAAUAUUGGACAAUGGGCGCAAGCCUGAUCCAGCCAUGCCGCGUGAGUGAUGAAGGCCCUAGGGUUGUAAAGCUCUUUUGUGCGGGAAGAUAAUGACGGUACCGCAAGAAUAAGCCCCGGCUAACUUCGCGCCAGCAGCCGC
rnacentral:rRNA from 1 species